AUACGUAGGGGGCGAGCGUUGUCCGGAAUGACUGGGCGUAAAGGGCGUGUAGGCGGCCGAUUAAGUCUGGAGUGAAAGUCCCGCUUUCAAGGUGGGAAUUGCUUUGGAGACUGGUUGGCUUGAGUGCGGCAGAGGUAAGUGGAAUUCCCAGUGUAGCGGUGAAAUGCGUAGAGAUUGGGAGGAACACCAGUGGCGAAGGCGACUUACUGGGCCGUAACUGACGCUGAGGCGCGAAAGCGUGGGGAGCGAACAGGAUUAGAUACCCUGGUAGUCCACGCUGUAAACGAUGAAUGCUAGGUGUAGGGGGUAUCGACCCUUCCUGUGCCGGAGUAAACGCAAUAAGCAUUCCGCCUGGGGAGUACGGCCGCAAGGUUGAAACUCAAAGGAAUUGACGGGG
rnacentral:rRNA from 1 species